rnacentral:tRNA from 1 species
GGGAUUCUAUGUUAUUCCUCAAACAAUAAGACUUCAAACCUUAAAAAGAAACCAUCGCUGUUUCGAAUCCCG